rnacentral:rRNA from 1 species
UGGGGAAUAUUGCACAAUGGGCGCAAGCCUGAUGCAGCCAUGCCGCGUGUGUGAAGAAGGCCUUCGGGUUGUAAAGCACUUUCAGCGGGGAGGAAGGCGUUAAGGUUAAUAACCUUGGCGAUUGACGUUACCCGCAGAAGAAGCACCGGCUAACUCCGUGCCAGCAGCCGCGGUAAUACGGAGGGUGCAAGCGUUAAUCGGAAUUACUGGGCGUAAAGCGCACGCAGGCGGUCUGUCAAGUCGGAUGUGAAAUCCCCGGGCUCAACCUGGGAAAUGCAUUAGAAACUGGCAGGCUAGAGUCUUGUAGAGGGGGGUAGAAUUCCAGGUGUAGCGGUGAAAUGCGUAGAGAUCUGGAGGAAUACCGGUGGCGAAGGCGGCCCCCUGGACAAAGACUGACGCUCAGGUGCGAAAGCGUGGGGAGCAAACAGG